rnacentral:rRNA from 1 species
GAUGAACGCUGGCGGCGUGCCUAAUACAUGCAAGUCGAGCGAACAGACGAGGAGCUUGCUCCUCUGACGUCAGCGGCGGACGGAUGAGUAACACGUGGAUAACCUACCUAUAAGUCUGGGAUAACUUCGGGAAACCGGAGCUAACACCUGAUAAUAUAUUGCACCGCAUGGUUCACUAGUGAAAGAAGGUUUUGCUGUCACUUAUAGAUGGAUCCGCGCCGCAUUAGCUAGUUGGUAAGGUAACGGCUUACCAAGGCAACGAUGCGUAGCCGACCUGAGAGGGUGAUCGGCCACACUGGAACUGAGACACGGUCCAGACUCCUACGGGAGGCAGCAGUAGGGAAUCUUCCGCAAUGGGCGAAAGCCUGACGGAGCAACGCCGCGUGAGUGAUGAAGGUCUUCGGAUCGUAAAACUCUGUUAUUAGGGAAGAACAAAUGUGUAAGUAACUAUGCACGUCUUGACGGUACCUAAUCAGAAAGCCACGGCUAACUACGUG